AGAUGCACAUACAAGUUAAACUUUACAUUAAUUGGAAAUGUGCAGUUUAUAAAAAAUACAAAAAAUACUUAAACUAUAAUAGCUAAACAAACCAAUUCAUUUUCAGUUUCAUUUAUUGUUGAGCAGCAGGUGCAGCUCAUAACACAUGCUCUUUUGGGCAAAUUGUUCUCAUCUGUUUGACUUCAAUCACCAUUUGUACAGGAUAAGUGGAAUAAAGCAGUGGACGAGUGGAACAAACUUCUCCCAAAUGUGUUCUUGGAUAAGAAGGAUUUCUUUAUUGAAGUAUGUUAAGUUCAAAUCUCAGUUUCAACUUAGAUGUUGAUGUUAUUGUCUCAAAACUUUUAAGUCACUAUAAUAUUAUAAAUCUUUGACACAGACUAUUCAGCUGGACUAUAGUAAGAAGAAGACUGAAAACCCCAUCAACAAAGAAUGUGACAAGGAUGCUGGAGCAAGGCUGGACCCCAUCAAAAAUGUCUAUUUCUACAGGAAGAGAAACCCCACUGAUGGCAUUUCUAUUAAGAAUUAUGAGAUAUCCAGUCUGCUGCCAGAGGAGUUUACUGAAUAUGUUGGUCAGGUUAACUACACAAAAAAAUCAGAUGAGGAGGAGAGGGAUGCUAAGGAGUGCUUCAGAUGGUGGCGUCUCCGUGAGGACGGGAUGUGUAUGAUUCUGGUCUUCGAUCAGGAAGAGUUUAGAGGAAACUGGCGCUUGAUCACAGAAGACUGUCCAUCAUUGGAGGUCCGCUCCUGUAAGGUUCUCAGUGGUGUGUGGGAUCUCUAUAAGGGUCCUGACUACACUGAACCCAGUUACCGACUGCAGAAUCUGGAGUAUCGAAACCCUGAGGCUUGGGGUGCCAGUGACAACACUGAUCCUGCUCUGUCUGUUAAACGUAGGACAGAGUAAAUUCUACUCCAUCCAUCUGUUGCCCUCAUUCAUUCAAGUAGGGCUGUGAGUUUAAAGCAUUAAUUUAAUGUUUAAUUAUAAUUGCUAAACAAAAAUAGUCUAAUCAGUGAU
ensembl:lncRNA